GACGAACGCUGGCGGCGUGCUUAACACAUGCAAGUCGAGCGGUAAGGCCCUUUCGGGGGUACACGAGCGGCGAACGGGUGAGUAACACGUGGGUGACCUGCCCUCAGCUCUGGGAUAAGCCUGGGAAACCGGGUCUAAUACCGGAUAUGACUCCAUGACGCAUGUUGUGGGGUGGAAAGCCUUGUGCGGCUGAGGAUGGGCCCGCGGCCUAUCAGCUUGUUGGUGGGGUGAUGGCCUACCAAGGCGACGACGGGUAGCCGGCCUGAGAGGGCGACCGGCCACACUGGGACUGAGAUACGGCCCAGACUCCCACGGGAGGCAGCAGUGGGGAAUCUUGCGCAAUGGGCGAAAGCCUGACGCAGCGACGCCGCGUGAGGGAUGACGGCCUC
rnacentral:rRNA from 1 species